GGGGUUUUUGACCCGUUUUACACAAGUUCAGGGUAUAAGUGAUCCCUUUUUUCAGCUUUGGACUUUUUUGAUACUUUGACACAAGUUCGGGGGUGAAAGUGAUCCUUUGUUUCUUUUUUUAUUUCCAUCUUCUUCCUCCAUCUCUGGUUUCUCACAUUUUCUUUUUUAUUUGUCCAUCUUCUUCCAUCUCUGACUCUCAUCUUUUACCCUUCAGAUCAUUAUUGUUCCGUCGCCGUUGUUCCGCUUUCACGUUUUCCGCCAUUGUUGUUUUUCUGUCACUCCUUCCUCCAUCGUUAUUUGCCCGUCACUCUUGUCGCCGCUGUUGUUUCUCUAUCACUCUUUCCGCCGCUGUUGUUUCUCUAUCACUCCUGCCGUCGCCGUUGUUCCGCCGCCGCCGCUCCUGUCACAGCCUUUAUUCCGUUUCUCUCUUUUUUUGUAGAUCUAAAAUUAUCUCUCCAUUUCUCUGUCAAAUUGAAAUCAUAAGGCAGAGUGAAAAUUAUUGAGUUGGUUGUGAUAGCUUGGGGGCAUAAUUAUUGACUGAACUUGAAGCAGAGGAGCGCCUACCUUACUAUUGUGAUUGCCAUUCGAAAACCACUAUUUAGUUCACAUAAGUAAAAAGAGUGAGAGAACAUGAAAUAUUUGUAUUGUUAUUUUGCUGAUUUUAGCAUUGGUGAAAAAGAUUGUAAUUUUAUAGUGUUGCUAUUGUGUUGAUUUAAUGUUAAUUUUCGGUUGAUAUUUUAUUGAUUUUA